rnacentral:rRNA from 1 species
AACGAACGCUGGCGGCAUGCCUAACACAUGCCAGUCGAACGAGACCUUCGGGUCUAGUGGCGCACGGGUGCGUAACGCGUGGGAACCUGCCCUUAGGUUCGGAAUAACUCCCCGAAAGGGGUGCUAAUACCGGAUAAUGUCUUCGGACCAAAGAUUUAUCGCCUUUGGAUGGGCCCGCGUUGGAUUAGCUAGUUGGUAGGGUAAAAGCCUACCAAGGCGACGAUCCAUAGCUGGUCUGAGAGGAUGAUCAGCCACACUGGGACUGAGACACGGCCCAGAAGAGGGAGGGGGGAAGGAGGGGGAAUGAGGGGAAAAGGGGGGAGAGAGGGAGCAAGAAGGGAGGGGGAGGUGAGGAGGGAGGUGGGGUGAGGAAGGGCUAGUACAGGGGAUGAGAAGGAAGGGACCGGGAAAAUAAGCCCCGGAUAACGCGGGGCGAGCAGACGGGGGAGUGGGUCGAAGAGAACACGCAGAAC